UGGUCCAGACAUGAUGACUCGUGAGUAUGAGUCAAGGAUGAUGAAUAAUAGAAGUCUAGAAGUUUAAGCUCCAA